rnacentral:rRNA from 1 species
AGAAUCAACGCUGGCGGCGUGCCUAACACAUGCAAGUCGAACGAGAAAGUGGAGCAAUCCAUGAGUAAAGUGGCGCACGGGUGAGUAACACGUGACUAACCUACCCUUGAGUGGGGGAUAACCUAGGAAAACCUGGGCUAAUACCGCAUAAUACCUUCGGGUCAAAGGAGCAAUUCGCUUAAGGAGGGGGUCGCGGCCGAUUAGUUAGUUGGCGGGGUAAUGGCCCACCAAGACUGUGAUCGGUAU